GGUCAUAUGUAAUUCUCAAAUUUUAUGCCUUUCAUUUCAUUAAACAUCCGGACAAACUAAUUGUAUUGGUUUUAUUGUUUUACUUAUAUAUAAAAAAACAGUCCUAGGCGCUCAGUCUAGUGGAUUUACCAAAAAAAAGACUUAGGGACUAAUUGGCAAAAUACACAAAAUGUAAACCUAGACUCUAGACCUAUAAGACCCUGGAGCUAAAAAAUACACAAAAAAAGAACACCUGGGGAAAGGCUGACAAGCAGCGCCGCAAUAGAGGAUCCCAUACGACCCCCUAUAUUCUCGUCUUCUUCAUCCCCUUCCCAAGUCAAUCUUCAUCUUCACGAAAGAACCUACAAAAUACUCCAACUCCAAAGACUCAAAGCAGCAGCGGCGACGACCCCACCUCACUGGUCUUCUUCUUCGUCCCCACAUCCACCAACGACCACUCUCACGUCGGCCUGAACCAAACAGCCAUCUCCACCUUUCUCCUUCAACCAUAACACACCCAAAGCUCCAAUAACGAACCCACAUCUCUCCGAACCCCUAUCUCUGACCAUACUAGCAACUAGCUGCAAAAGGAAAGAAGAAAAGGAGUUCGAAAAAACAGUAAUGAAAACAGGGGAGCAAGCAGAAACGUCUGAAGUUGUGUUGAGUGGAGGUUUCCGGUGCCGGUUCGAGUUCCAUCCAGAGGUCAUCGGUUGUUGUUCGAGAUUUGAGUUUUCCAGCAGAAUUUGAGGGUGUCGUCGUUAGGGAAGAAAUAAAGAGUUACGUAGAUGCGCAGAAGAGUCAGAAAGAGUCUCAUGAGAAGAUAGCAGCAUCAGUGACUAGACUUGAGACAGCCUACGGCAACUUGGCCAAGGCGCAUGCAAAUCUCCAAUCAGACUUCAAGAAGGAGAAGGAGAGGAACAAUAAGAAGAGCAAGUUUAUGAUAAAAAUGUGGAGAGGAAUAAAGUUCAUCUUCAAAUGGGGAAACCCAAGAAAGAAAAUACCAGUGGGGGACAAAAAUGAUAGCGAGGAGUAUUCCUUCAUGUCAGAAGCUGUUGGUGAUGAUGAUGAUGAUGAGGCUACGAGUUCAGCACAACAUUGAUAAGCCGUCCUCCCACAGUCUGUUAGUCUGAUGCAGACCUCAGGGAGACCCUCAAACUAUUUAUGCUUUAUAUUUGAUAUUGUGCAGUGAGGACACUACAAUGUUUUUAGUUGGGGUGGCUGUAAGAGUAUACUGUAUUCAUGUUAUGAUAUUGUGUGCCCUUGCCGGGCUUAUUUUGUUGAUAUGGAUAUUGUGUACCCUUGGCGGGCUUAUUGUGUUGUUAUGGAUAUUGUGUGCCCUUGUCGGGCCAUUUUGUGUAG